GCUUUUUACGAAGAUGCCAUCGGUUCGAAUGACGGGAAUCCCUGUCUAGGGUUAACAUCGCACGGUUGGGGGUAAAAGUUGGGUGGGCAUUGUUGUCAGUUAGGGUUGCAUUCGGUGGGAUCGAUGGCUCAGUGUGGGAUUUGGUGGGAAGGCAUGCUGCUUGCAGAGAGGAGGAGAGGGAAGGAGGGAGGGGGAGGGAGAGAGAGAGGGGUUUGGUGAGGGGAAGGCAUGCGACUUGCAGAGAUGAGAGAAGCUUAAAAGCAACUGCAGCAAGUUCAAUGGACAGGGUAGCAGCAAUGGAGACACCUCGCUCUAAACCAUUUCCCCUCUCCUCAGGCGAAUGCUGAACAAAGUUUUGAAGGAACCCACGACCACCAGGUUCACUUUUAAUAGAAUCCGAUUCGCAAGGAAAAGAAGAAAGCCAGCUUUUCAACGAAAAAGCUAAAAUCAAUCCCUUCGACCUCCUCAUCGGCGGCGGCACCCACGACCACCAGUGAGUGAUCAUCGAGCUGUGACGGGUUGGUGUUGGAUUUGAUUCGAUUGAGGAAAAUGUGGCGGAGACAAUGAUUCCCAAAUCCUCCAGCUUUCGGAUCAGACAAUCGUCCCACCGAAAAAAUGAUUGCGAUCCCUUAUUUAACCGCGUCAACCACGUGCAUCAGCUAUGGAUUGCUCUUCGUUUUCGGCCAAGUCAGAGAUUUCUUCCGCAAAAUCAUUGACUGGUGGAGUGCUAGCAAUUUGCAGGACUUUGAAGAUUUCUAUAUUUGCCGGCUUUAUCUUCGAAUUCAGGAUGUUUCAAUAGGCUUAUUGCAAGUGCUCCUGAUGCUUGGUUUGAUGUGGUUGAACGCUACUCCAAUGACUACAACAUAACACUCAAGCAACGAUUACAAAUUUCCUCCGAUUUCGCAAUUUCAUGUAUAUUUUACUCCUUUUGUUAUGUUUUCUUGAUUUGUAUUCUCAUUGUGUAACUCGGCUGAUGCAAGCUAACCAAAAAAACCAGUAGAUGCCUUAACUUGGGAUCUUACAAUUACCUUGGCUUUGCUGCAUUUGAUGAGUACUGCACACCUCGCGCUGUUGAGAUGUUGAAAAAAUAUUAUCCCAGUACCCGUAGUAGCCGAGUUAAUGGGGGCACCACGGAUUUGCAUAAUGAGCUGGAAGAGUGUGUUGCAAAUUUUGUUGGGAAACCUGCUGCUAUAGUUUUCGGAAUGGGUUAUGUCGCAAACUCUGCUACCCUUCCUGUUCUAAUGGGGAAGGGAGGCUUGAUUGUUAGUGAUUCUUUGAACCACAACUCCAUUGUCAAUGGCGCAAGAGGAUCUGGAGCUAGAGUUUGUGUUUUCCAACACAAUAGUGGAUUACCAAAAGGAGCUCAUCAAGUAUUUUGCGAGCAAGAUCGACCUUGAUCAUUUGGAUAUUUAAAGGAGCCAUUGAUAAAGGGAAGAUGACGAAUUGUGAACCUGUGUGCCAAUUUUGCUAAUUUUGCAGACAAGCAGAAACUCUGGCAGUGUGAUCAAACAGGCUUUCAUGUUGCGUAUUUUAAUUAAUAGCUGUGAAACCCACUGUGUGUCGCACCACAGACGGUCUCGUUGCUAUCCUCCUCGCGCCGCCGUCUCCCUUCUCUUGCCUCCAUCGUCUUACUCCUCCUUUCUCUGUCUCUGGAAUCCUAUCGUCAUCUUCCUCGCAUGCAAGGGACUGGCCCUCUCAAUUGAAACCAAAACGUGUUUCAGUUCUGAGGAAGAGCAAGAAAAAGGAAGAACCAGUAUUAGAAGAUCUUCCCAAAGAGUACUAUGAUGAUUCUAAGCCAUGAAGGAUUUGAUAAACCCACAAUUGAUAACAAUGUGCGGCGGCACCAACAGUUUUGGACAAGGAACAAGUAAGUACCAUUUUGCUCCAUUGUUCCAAAGUAUUAUGUAGAGAUUGCUUUAAUAUCUUGGCUUCUUUGCUUUAUAUGGGUUGUCUGAGAUAGGAUUUAGGAGAUCUGGUUUAGGUUUUGCAGAGAUAGAGAUAGGGGGUGCCCGAGAGAAAUGUGGGAGGAUUUAGGCAAGGGAUUUCAGGGAUUUGUUUAGGGUUUCUUUCCUGCGAUUAGCAGACAGAGAGAUGGGACAAGGGUGAGAGAGAGAGAGAUGCGAGGAUUUUCUGUGAAGGUAAAGGGAAUGGAUAAGGGACGUUUGGGUAUGGGUAGGGGAUUGGAAAAGCAUUUCAUUUUCCAUUUGCUUUCUCAAACCCGAGGGAUUUCUGUGAUUGCAGAGAGAGAGAGAGAGAGAGAUGGGGGUGUCCGUUAGGUGCCCUUUAAUUGUCACUUUUGUGAUUUGUCCACCCUUGAUUGUUGUGUGAUUCAUUCUCACGAACGUUCUAUGCACAAGGUUUCAUAUUAUUCCUUCCCUUUAAUUUUGAUAUUGUUGUGCUUAAUUUCUGUUUUAUUUUAUUGGGGAGUAGAUUAACAGACCUUGGAUAUUUUGGUAUAAUAAUUUCACAUCAUGUGUUGCCCUUUUGCAUCACCUUAAUUUUUCAUCACAUACUAACUUUAACAUUUGUCCAUCCUUCUGGAGUUGAGCACUAUCUUUCUGACAGCAUAAAUGCUCUGAGAAACUGCUAUGGAGACAAACAGUUGUUUACUCCGUUCUAGAUAAUGCCGCCUUUUUGGAUUUCGUAUGAGUGUCCCAGGUCAAUUCUGGACCAUCAGAAGAGGGAUGAUCGCUGUCAUUCGGAUUGCGGGCAUCCACUUCAAAAUCCCGGUAAACACGUCAUUUUCUUGAUUUCAGGCCAUGCAAAAUUCAUGGUGAAAAAACUGAGCUCAUGCCGUUGGUUUUCUUUUAAGGUUCUGAUGGAUUAAGCAAAAGCUCCUACCAAUUUAGCGGAGUGAACCAAGAAUUCAGGGCUUUUAUUAAUGCCAAUCGCUAUGCAAUUUAGUUUUUACUUUUAGCAUGUUCGGAGUGACCUUUGAAUUUACAUGUUUAGUUGUUUUUGUUUUACUAUCCUGAUAGGUAUGUGUGUAUUACUAUUCUGUUUAUCCCCAUUCUCUGGUGGUGUUUACUGCAUUGUUUCUACACAA